AUAAGGCAGAAAACUAGAUGGCAAUUUUAAGUAAGUAAAAUCAUCCAAUAUUUGAAAGGAAAACCAGCAAAAAAAUGUAUACAAAAUCGGAGCCCCAAAAGACCAAAUUUUCGAUACCAACCUGCAAAUACAUAAUCAGCCCAUUCACAUUUUUAUACCACAUUUCUGGUCAAAUAUGUUCUUAACAAAUUCAAUUGUAAGCAGUACUACUUUAUUCAUAACUGUACAAAUACCAUACAUCAUUACCAUUCAAUACAAAGGCUCAUUUCAUAGUAAUCCAUUCACAACAUUUACCAUAUGUAAAUACUCAAACAAAUCUUAACAUGACAACAUUUUCAAGCAAUUCAAAUCUCAUGACAUACUCAAUUUCAUGAUCUGUUAAUUUCGACAAUUCUAAAUUACCAAUUUUAGCUUCAAUUUCUGUAUCUUAUCACACAUUAUACUAAAAAUUUAUUUAACCUAAGUACAUGUAAUAAUUUAAUAAAAAUAAAAUAGAUUAAAUCCAGGCUUUGUUGCUAGAUACUUCAUGUUUUUGCAUACUUUAAGAUUUCUACAAAUUAUGACAUCGAUAGAAAACAGUAACAGACCAGUAUGCCUAAAAAAUGCAGAAAAACAGUAACACAUCGACAGACAACAACAAUGGUGUGUGAAACGCUGCCUAAAACCAGUUAAAUAAAAUGAAAUGAAGACACCCACUGAAACCAUUUCGAGAAAAAUAAUUUCAAACAUAAAGAAAAUCAGUGUACUUGCAAGACGAUGAGGAAAACCACUGUCAACGGCGAAAUGAAAUAAACCUAAAAACUAUCACUGAAACAACAUAACAUCAGUUGCAUACCCAAUAAUGAAACCAUUCCCAAAUAGAAGUAAAAACAAACAAGUACAGUACCUGUAGGACGAUGAACUGAAACGAACGAAAACCCUAUACAGAUCAGAGAAGAGAAAUUUUUUAAAGUAAGGAACAUCAAAAUAAAUUUGACGAAUAAAAAUAUAAAUUUAAUAAACAAGUCAAAACCCAAAGAUUACAUACGCAGAAUCGGAAUAAAAUCGAACCUUUGAAGGCCUAUUGUGCGACGUUCGUCUUCUCUGGAAGGAGGAAGGAGUCGAUUUAGGGAUUUCGGAUUUCAAGAAAUUCGGCAAGAAGGAGGCGAUUUACGGAUUUGGGAAUUCAAGAAAUUGGGCAAGA
rnacentral:lncRNA from 1 species